rnacentral:rRNA from 1 species
GACGAACGCGGCGGCGUGCCUAAUACAUGCAAGUAGAACGCUGAAGGAAGGAGCUUGCUCUUUCCGGAUGAGUUGCGAACGGGUGAGUAACGCGUAGGUAACCUGCCUGGUAGCGGGGGAUAACUAUUGGAAACGAUAGCUAAUACCGCAUAAUAGCAGUUAUUGCAUGAUAACUGUUUGAAAGGUGCAAAUGCAUCACUACCAGAUGGACCUGCGUUGUAUUAGCUAGUUGGUGGGGUAACGGCUCACCAAGGCGACGAUACAUAGCCGACCUGAGAGGGUGAUCGGCCACACUGGGACUGAGACACGGCCCAGACUCCUACGGGAGGCAGCAGUAGGGAAUCUUCGGCAAUGGACGGAAGUCUGACCGAGCAACGCCGCGUGAGUGAAGAAGGUUUUCGGAUCGUAAAGCUCUGUUGUAAGAGAAGAACGAGUGUGAGAGUGGAAAGUUCAUACUGUGACGGUAUCUACCAGAAA